rnacentral:tRNA from 1 species
GUCUUUGUAGUAUAAAUAAUACGUUGGUUUUGUAAGCCUAAAAAGGGGAAAAAUCCUCCUAAGACAUU